GGUCUCUUCCAACCUAGAAAUUCUGUGAUUCUGUGAUUCUGUGAAAUGUGAGAUGUUGUUCAUAAAACACACUGUAAGCCAGUCUGGUGCACCCAGGUGUGAGCUGGGGGCGAAGCAGGGGAGGAGCGGGGGCAAUGGGGACCCUGGCUGGGUGGGGAGGGAAGGAGGAGCACUUCCGAACUGCACGUUUUCUUAAAGCCUAUGCGAAAGAAUUACUAUUUGCCUAAUGAACAAGCACAGUUUUUAGAUUAAAAAAGUAACAAAAAGACAAAAAAAUCUGGUGAAGAAAAGCACCAAACUCCCUUGGUCUUGUGUGAGUGACUGAUCCGGAGGUGCAUGAGAACCUACAGAGUCUGGAGCUGCAUCAGUGUGUCAUGUUCCUUUUUGCGUUGAAAUCAUUUCUACCAGUAGGUUGCGAUGAUAGGAGGAGUUUAAAAACAAGCAAACAA